UACGAAGGGUGCAAGCGUUACUCGGAAUUACUGGGCGUAAAGGGUGCGUAGGCGGUUGUUUAAGUCUGUCGUGAAAUCCCCGGGCUCAACCUGGGAAUGGCGAUGGAUACUGGGCAGCUAGAGUGUGUCAGAGGAUGGUGGAAUUCCCGGUGUAGCGGUGGAAUGCGUAGAGAUCGGGAGGAACAUCAGUGGCGAAGGCGGCCAUCUGGGACAACACUGACGCUGAAGCACGAAAGCGUGGGGAGCAAACAGG
rnacentral:rRNA from 1 species